UAGCCGUAUAUUCAGUUGUUGCAGUUAAAAAGCUCGUAGUUGGAUUUCGGUUAAGAGCGACCGGUCCGCCGUUUGGUGUGCACUGGUUGGUUUUAACUUCCUGUAGAGGACGUGCUCUGGGCUUAACGGUCUGGACUCGGAGUCUACGUGGUUACUUUGAAAAAAUUAGAGUGUUCAAAGCGGGCUUACGCUUGAAUAUUUCAGCAUGGAAUAACACUAUAGGACUCCUGUCCUAUUUCGUUGGUCUCGGGACGGGAGUAAUGAUUAAGAGGAACAGUUGGGGGCAUUCGUAUUUCAUUGUCAGAGGUGAAAUUCUUGGAUUUAUGAAAGACGAACUUCUGCGAAAGCAUUUGCCAAGGAUGUUUUCAUUAAUCAAGAACGAAAGUUGGGGGCUCGAAGAUGAUUAGAUACGAUCCUAGUCUCAACCAUAAACGAUGCCGACUAGGGAUUGGCGGAUGUUAAUUGAUGACUCCGCCAGCACCUUAUGAGAAAUCAAAGUUUUUGGGUUCCGGGGGGAGUAUGGUCGCAAGGCUGAAACUUAAAGGAA
rnacentral:rRNA from 1 species